AUACGGAGGUAGAGCACUGAAUGUCCUAGGGGGUAUUGCACCUACCGAAGACUAUCAAACUCCGAAUGCCGUCAUCUUAUACUUUGGAGUCAGACUGUGGGUGAUAAGAUUCAUAGUCGAAAGGUCAACAGCCCAGAUCGUCAGCUAAGGUCCCUAAAUGUAAGUUAAGCGGUAAAGGAUGUGGCAUUGCACAGACAACCAGGAUGUUGGCUUAGAAGCAGCCACUCCUUCAAAGAGUGCGUAAUAGCUCACUGGUCGAGUGAUCCUGCGCCGACGAUUUCCGGGGCUAAAACUUACUCCCGAAGCUACGGCCUCAGUACUGAUGGGUAGGGGAGCUUCGCAUACGGGUGUAAGCCUGACCGUCAAGACAUGUGGCCCGUAUGGGAGUGAGAAUGUGGGCAUGAGUAGGGCGUCGUGGUGGGAGAA
rnacentral:rRNA from 1 species